rnacentral:lncRNA from 1 species
CAGAGGACCCCAAGGGAGCAGCACCGAGGGAGACGCCAGUUCACAAAGCCAACCCGCCUCUGGGGCACUGUGUCAACUGUGCUGAGUUUGGAAUCCACCUCACAGGCGUAGAAACCCAAGGUCCCCUGUUUUUUAACACAAUAGGGCUGUACAUGAGUCUUUCUGCAUAUCUUCUCUAAGGACAUGCCCAGAGGGUGUCCAUUCACCAAGGUGAUGGGGACGUUUUAAAGAGCAAGACAUGGUGUGGCAAACGCAGCCGCCUGGCCCUUCACAGUACAGAAAUUGUCCUUGGGGGUGGUCAGCAGUGACUGGGCAGCCUCUGGAAUCCUGCUGUGAAGUCCCCGCUAGAAGACCACGGGUGGCAGUGAAGGCAUCUUUCCCAGUGAGCUGUCUCAGCUCUCUCCUGUGCUGGGCCUGGAAGAAGAGUUCCCUAAGAUGUAGGAGGCGGAGGAACCUGAGACAGGAGACACCUGACAGAUAAGCAGGAAUACGAAGGGAAAGGUCCCCAAGACCAAGAAUCAUCCUGAGUGUGUUAUGAUUUUUUAAGAAAACCACCUCUGGUGAAAAUCAUCCAACAAUGAGGGUGUAUUUGCUCUCACAGCUACAGCGCCCCUGUUAGAUAUGGGACCUAUAAGGAGCUCUAACCCCAGGGUGACAGAGUGAGAUCCCCGUCAGUAACGGCACAGACCUGAGGAAUUCACAAACUGAAGCAAGAGGUCAGAGCUGAGGACUUUUUAUCUUCGAACUCAAAUGUGAGUCAAAAAUAUUAGACAACAAAAAAAUAGCAUCUAUACUGAACAUGUAUAUAGACACUAUUCUCCUUGUCCUAAUCCCCUAAGAAACACAGCAUAAUAACCAUUUGCAAAGCUUUUACACUGUGCCAGGUGCUGUAAGUCAUCUAGAGAUGAUCUAAAGGAGGAAGUGCAGAAUUUUUAUCAAAUACUGGGCCACUUUCUACAAAGCACUUGAGGAUCCAU